ACUUUGAGUACCUGAGUGAUACAGAAUCAAAAUGAAGAACACUAUUCUUGCUUUGGUUCUCUUUGCUUGUGUGGUGUCUAUGACAUCAGCUCGGAUUCCUCCUUAUGGAAAAUGCUACUACUGGAAAAGAUGUAGCAUCUGGAGGCCAUGCAGCUGGGGAAAAUAUUGCGACUUCAGAUAUGGCCAUCAUGGAUACUGCUGUAGUCAAUAUCAUGGCGGACACGGCCUUUACUAUGGUCACUAUAGUGGCAAUGGAGGCUACAGUUAUUAAGGCUAUGGUCAAGAUGUUGAUCAUUAUUAAUAAAAUGGUUAUUUUGGUAAAUAUUUUGGUAUCCAAACAAAAUUUCAAUGAAAACAACAAUUGGCUUUGGAUGAUCUUCUCUACUAUUUAAAGAGGUUUCAUACCUGUAAAGCACACUAUUUCAUUAUUAAACAAUAUUGAUGC
rnacentral:sRNA from 1 species